CUCUCUCUCUCUCUCUCUCUCUCUCUUGUAAAUCCACUCUGUUUGGGUUGAAGUUAAAAUGCGGAAGUUUCCGCCCAGCAAAGCCACUGAUAGCGCGAAGAUGAGGCUCGCGAUGGCAUCAGCGAUCAUCCCCGCUCCGUGCUGCUCUCCGCGGCUCUGCGUGGACUGAGAUCAGACUCUCAUGGCUUCUCUGCCAGCGUCAGAGCGGAGAGCAUUCGCUCUCAAAAUCAACAGACACUCCUCGGCGGAGAUCCGGAAACACUUCAGUGGGAUCACCCAUGGUUCCCUGCCUCACCACCGGCACAGUUACAGCGCCUCUGGCUCUUUCUGCUUCAACAUACCUCAGUCAUAUGAAGCAGUUGAGCCGGUGGACCUGGAUGAGUUCCUGAUGUCACA